rnacentral:rRNA from 1 species
GAAUAUUGGACAAUGGGGGGAACCCUGAUCCAGCCAUGCCGCGUGUGUGAAGAAGGCCUUUUGGUUGUAAAGCACUUUAAGCGAGGAGGAGGCUACUCUAGUUAAUACCUAGGGAUAGUGGCCGUUACUCGCAGAAUAAGCACCGGCUAACCCUGUGCCAGCAGACGCGGUAAUACAGAGGGUGCAAGCGUUAAUCGGAUUGACUGGGCGGAAAGCGCGAGUAGGGGGCCAAUUAAGGCAAAUGGGAAAUCCCCGAGCUGAACUUGGGAAUUGCAUUCGAGACUGGUUGGCUAGAGUAUGGGAGAGGAUGGUAGAAUUCCAGGUGUAGCGGUGAAAUGCGUAGAGAUCUGGAGGAAUACCGAUGGCGAAGGCAGCCAUCUGGCCUAAUACUGACACUGAGGUGCGAAAGCAUGGGGAGCAAACA